rnacentral:rRNA from 1 species
UGAGUGGCGGACGGGUGAGUAACGCGUGGGUAACCGUAGCCUCGGUACAGGGGACGAACGAGUUGGAAACGGCUGCUAAUACCGCAUAAGCGCACAGUACCGCAUGGUACAGUGUGAAAAACUCCGGUGGUACGAGAUGGACCCGCGUCUGAUUAGCUAGUUGGUGAGGUAACGGCCCACCGAGGCGACGAUCAGUAGCCGAUCUGAGAGGAUGAACGGCCACAUUGGGACUGAGACACGGCCCAGACUCCUACGGGAGGCAGCAGUGGGGAAUAUUGCACAAUGGGCGAAAGCCUGAUGCAGCGAACCGCCGCGUGAGCGAUGAAGUAUUUCGGUAUGUAAAGCUCUAUCAGCAGGGAAGAAAAAUGACGGUACCUGACUAAGAAGCACCGGCUAAAUACGUGCCAGCAGCCGC